rnacentral:rRNA from 1 species
AACGAACGCUGGCGGCAGGCCUAACACAUGCAAGUCGAACGCUCGUAGCAAUACGAGAGUGGCAGACGGGUGAGUAACACGUGGGAACCUUCCCUAUGGUUCGGAAUAGCUCAGGGAAACUUGGGGUAAUACCGGAUAAGCCCUUCGGGGAAGGAUUAUCGCCAUUGGAUGGGCCCGGCCGUCGGAUUAGCUAGUUGGUGAGGUAACGGCUCACCAAGGCAACGAUCCGUAGCUGGUCUGAGAGGAUGAUCAGCCACACU